CCACAGAAAGACAAAUAUCCAUGUUCUCAUUCAUAUGCAGGAGCUAAAAAAACUGGAUCUCACAAAAGUAAAGAGCAGACUGAUGGUAACCAGAGGCUGUGAAUGGAAGGGGAAAGGGAAGGGAUGCAAGGGAAAAAAAGAAGGACAGGACUAAGAGAAAGGCAGAGAUUCAUGGCUUUUUAAAAUGGUAUUUAUGGUUAUUCCCUCCUCCACCUCAUCCCUAACUUACCGGAAGACAAAAUGACAUGGGAAGAAGAGGAAAGUUGUUAGAAGGGGAGCUCUAGACAGCCAGGAAAGCUGGAGUCACAA
rnacentral:lncRNA from 10 species